rnacentral:rRNA from 1 species
UACGUAGGGUACGAGCGUUGUCCGGAAUUAUUGGGCGUAAAGAGCUCGUAGGUGGUUGGUCACGUCUGCUGUGGAAACGCAACGCUUAACGUUGCGCGUGCAGUGGGUACGGGCUGACUAGGGUGCAGUAGGGGAGUCUGGAAUUCCUGGUGUAGCGGUGAAAUGCGCAGAUAUCAGGAGGAACACCGGUGGCGAAGGCGGGACUCUGGACUGUAACUGACACUGAGGAGCGAAAGCAUGGGGAGCGAACAGG